AAACAGUGAGCUGUCUUUGUUCGAAAUACAGGUGAACGGCAAUCAUGUGAUUAACACACACACACACAUAAAAAGCUUUUUAACAGCGCCCGCCCGGCCUCAGAACCGCCCGGAGAGAAGCCGCCUUGGAUGGACAGAGGGACGGAGCGGCGAGCAUCCGGCCAGUCGUGCCCCGGCUCCCCUGCAGCGGUCUCCAACUGCUGUCUGCCGUCUGCCCGCUGCCCGCCUGCCUGGCAUCUCUCUCCCGGCUGAAAUGGGACCUUCCUCUCCCAAGCUCCCAGCCCAGGCUGUGUCUCUACACUGAGACAAGACACCUUUCAGCUAGCCAUCUUAAAUCUACACGGCAGCUUCCUGAGGUGCUAGCUGCAUUCCUGGCCUGGAAGCAAUGAGCCCGUCCUACCCCUGUGUCACUCUGGAUGGUUUUGCAGAGGUGCCUCACCUGAUCCUGGGUAGAUGACAUCACCCUACAGUUAGCAAUCAAAACAACAAACCCAUGAAGGGCAGCUACAGCACGGGUGAAGUUUGAAAAUAUGCUCAAUGAGAGAAGGCAGCUACAAAAGGACACACAUUAUUCCAGUUCUGUGAAAUUCCACAGCAGGGUCUUACAGUGUAUCCCUGGCUGCCCUGGAGCUCACAAAGUACUUCUGCCUCAGCCUCCUGAGAACGGGGAUUACAAGGGUGUGUCAGCCUUGCUGGCUCUAAAAAAUAUGAUUUAAAAAAAUCUUCCACUUAUAAUAACACAAUUAAAUAUAAUAAAAGAUUUACAAUGUUCAUUUUAAAA
ensembl:lncRNA